rnacentral:rRNA from 1 species
GAUGAACGCUGGCGGCGUGCUUAACACAUGCAAGUCGAACGAUGAAGCCCAGCUUGCUGGGUGGAUUAGUGGCGAACGGGUGAGUAACACGUGAGUAACCUGCCCUUAACUCUGGGAUAAGCCUGGGAAACUGGGUCUAAUACCGGAUAGGAGCGUCCACCGCAUGGUGGGUGUUGGAAAGAUUUAUCGGUUUUGGAUGGACUCGCGGCCUAUCAGCUUGUUGGUGAGGUAAUGGCUCACCAAGGCGACGCCGGGUAGCCGGCCUGAGAGGGUGACCGGCCACACUGGGACUGAGACACGGCCCAGACUCCUACGGGAGGCAGCAGUGGGGAAUAUUGCACAAUGGGCGCAAGCCUGAUGCAGCGACGCCGCGUGAGGGAUGACGGCCUUCGGGUUGUAAACCUCUUUCAGUAGGGAAGAAGCGAAAGUGACGGUACCUGCAGAAGAAGCACCGGCUAACUACGUG